rnacentral:lncRNA from 1 species
CUGGGAUUUGGAGCUGAAGUAACUUGACCAAGAGCAGAUGGCAGGCACCCCUGAGCAUGAAAUAUAAAUUUCCCCCUGAGGAUUUAUGCCUUAUGUUUCUAGAGGGACAUAGAGAAGACAGAUAACUUAAAUACUUGGGUUCUGGAUUGGGGUUAUGUCAAACAUGCCACCGAAGAUUCUUGCACACGUUAUGCUGGUGUACAUAUAUGGAAGUGUCUGUGAGUACACACGUCACGGAGGAACUGCUGUGCCAUAGGGGAUACACACCCUCAACCUUGGCAGAUGAUGCUGAGCUGCCUUCCAGAGCAGCAGUGCUGGUUUGCACUCUCAGAAGCUUUGUAGAGAGUUCCAACUGCUCCACUUUCUCACCCACGCUUGGUAUUUCCAGACUUAAGUUUUUGCCAAUGAGCUUGUAUAUGUAAUGGUGCCCUACUGUGGUUUUAAUUUGCAUUUCUUUUCUUGCUGCAAAUAUCAGAGCCCCCUUUCU